GACGAACGCUGGCGGCGUGCCUAAUACAUGCAAGUAGAACGCAGUUGCGAACGGGUGAGUAACGCGUAGGUAACUGCCUGGUAGCGGGGGAUAACCAGUGGAAACGAUAGCUAAUACCGCAUACUACCAGAUGGAACUGCUUUGUAUUAGGUAGUUGGUGGGGUAACGGCUCACCAAGGCAACGCUACGUAGCCGGCCUGUGAGGGUGAUCGGCCACACUGGGACUGAGGCACGGCCCAGACUCCUACGGGGGGCAGCAGGAGGGAAUCUUCGGCAAUGGACGGAAGUCUGACCGAGCAACGCCGCGUGAGUGAAGAAGGUUUUCGGAUCGUAAAGCUCUGUUGUAAGAGAAGCGGUAGCUUACCAGAAAGGGACGGCUAACUACGUGCCAGCAGCCGCGGUAAUAC
rnacentral:rRNA from 1 species